CUUGUAGUAAUAACGAAUGGCAAGAAGUCAGCAGAGGUCAUAGUAAACCGAUGGUUGCAAACAUCGGCGAAGGAC
rfam:Blautia hansenii DSM 20583 B_hansenii-1.0.1_Cont1.6, whole genome shotgun sequence.